UUUGAAAUGCAGUACUAAUUUUAAGACUGUUGAUAAAAUCUUUAAAGAGAUUGUUAAUAAUAUUAUUUUGUUAUUUGAAGUGAAGUAUGAUUUUAAUGUUAAACUAACAAAUUGUUAUAUUAAUGUUUUAUCAGUGCAAACAUGAAUAAUACUUUGAAGUAGUAAGUUACACAAUUACUAAUUUCAAAACCAGAAUCUACGAAGUAAAUUCAGCUGCAGAUGUCAUCAUAAGUAAAUUAUAUACGUGAAAAUGUUAUGCCAAUCCUAUCGCUUGAAGUACUUCGAAAAAAACAUCUUACGCCCGAGCAUUAUUUUUUGACGCCUUUAUCUCUUUAGUUUUUGGAAUCCAUCAAGUUGAAAAAAGAGUUAAUUUCUUGGCUAACGCAGAAACCUGGGUGAAGUGAGACAACUGAAUGGACUCGGCUAUCAUGGGCUGGAUCAAAAUAAAAAGAUGCAUUUAAAAACUAUACUUAUCCAUACACAAUUGCUGAUCUGCCAGUUUUUUAAUAUAUCAUUCUUUUAGCAAUUAAUCAUGGUCUUUAAUCCAUCUUAUAAUCACAAACCUUUUGUUAAAGGUAUAAAAAGGUGUAAAAAGUUAUGCAGUAGAGUCGGAAAUGUAUACAAUGUAGCUACAACCACCUACCGUUACACAAUAGUACAGGAUUUCUCAGGUUACACAAUUCUCAUAGUUAGUCCAUGAGAGUGAGGCUCGCCAAUUAUUUCUGAAAUAAAUUUAAAUCUGUCGUAUUAAAGCAGGGCUUAAUAUUAUUUUUGAGCUAAGGAGAGUAACCAAGUAGCACCCAUUCUACUUUUGAACACUUACAGAAUAAUUUCAAGAUUAAUUAAAUAUGUCAUAACGAUAAUAAUCCAACUUUUGUUGUCCUUUGGAUGUAAAUACUGCGCGAUAGCCAUUGCAAAUGUUCAGUGUUAACCGCUGCAGGACCAGGUGGAGUAUAAUGUAAUUGUUGGAUAUUUAUCCAUGGAAACUUGAAACAUAGAACAAUUAUUUCAUUCUUCUUAUUUGUUUAUUUACACAAGAUUUAUGAUAAAAUUAAUUUAAGUUUCAUAUUCUACAAAUAUGUACAGACCUGUACGAGAUUUAACACACCAAAACUUGACGAAAAGGUAUCCACCAAACCAACUCAUAGUCUAUGGCAAUUAACAAAAUUCCCAAGAGUUUUAAAUUUCAUAUGUGAUAUACAUAAAUAUCAUGGUACUGUUAAUAAAGUCCAAGACAAUCUUCACAGACAGCGGAAGAGACUUCACUCACAACAAUCACAAGAACUGUUUGUACAUACCGGCGAACACUCUUCUACUCUGCAGGAGCACAAGUGACAUUCAUUGUACGCGAAUAGUUCUCAGGAGUCUAGAGAGGCCGCAGGCAGGGUUGGAGAGGUCGUUGUAGGGCCUAAGCCGACUUCUCUCCGCUGCUGGAACACCGGAUGGAUGUCUCGCCACCUAAGCAGUUUACUCUAAGAAUACAGCCUGUCUCAGUUACGUGUCUCUGCUACUCUUUCCCCUCAGUUCCUGGCUCUCUAAGUGGGAUCUGACAGCGGCAUCCGAUACGACAACCUUUGUAAAUCCUGGAAAGAUGUGGUGUUAGGACGGCGUGGCAGACACUUCACUUACAACACAUUACAAGAAGAGCUGUUUGCGCACCGGAGGAUAAUAUUCUCUGCUGGGGGACUCGUGGCCAUUCAUUGUACACGAAUAGGCAAGAAAAGGUCAGCAGACCGCACCGGAAGGGGUUAAAGGAAAAACAAGGCAGGUAUACAGAACAAACGUUGGUCCUGUGUUUCCAGUAACAAUAAUCACUCUUGUUGGAGUCAAAGCAUUUACACUACGGUGAACAGACACAAAUGUCACAUCCUAGAAAAACAUUCACUACAGUUGUGCGGAUGAUUGGAACAAUUUACUCUUUACGAAGAGGCGCAUUCUCCCUACUUAAAACAAGUUUUCUUUUUCUACAGCUGUUUAAGUACCAAU